rnacentral:rRNA from 1 species
AGAGUUUGAUCCUGGCUCAGAACGAACGCUGGCGGCGUGCUUAAGACAUGCAAGUCGAACGGUAAGGCACCUUCGGGUGUACACGAGUGGCGCACGGGUGAGUAACGCGUGGGUAAUCUACCUUCGGGUUUGGAACAACUCCGGGAAACUGGAGCUAAUACCGAAUGAGACCACGAGGUCCUUGGGCCUUGUGGAAAAAGGUGGCCUCUUCUUGAAAGCUAUCGCCUGUUGAUGAGCCCGCGUACCAUUAGCUUGUUGGUGAGGUAAAAGCUCACCAAGGCGACGAUGGUUAGCUGGUCUGAGAGGAUGAUCAGCCACACUGGAACUGAGACACGGUCCAGACUCCUACGGGAGGCAGCAGUCGGGAAUUUUGUGCAAUGGGGGAAACCCUGACACAGCAACGCCGCGUGAGGGAUGAAGGCCUUCGGGUCGUAAACCUCUGUCGGGAGGGACGAAAGUACUUUGGGCCAAUACUCCAGAGUACCGACGGUACCUCCAAAGGAAGCACCGGCUAACUCCGUGCCAGCAGCCGCGGUAAUACGGAGGGUGCAAGCGUUGUUCGGAAUUAUUGGGCGUAAAGCGCGCGUAGGCGGCUUGGUAAGUCGGAUGUGAAAGCCCGGGGCUCAACCCCGGAAUUGCAUUCGAAACUGCUUGGCUAGAGUCUCGGAGAGGAGGGCGGAAUUCCCGGUGUAGAGGUGAAAUUCGUAGAUAUCGGGAGGAACACCAGUGGCGAA